rnacentral:rRNA from 1 species
GGCGGCAUGCUUUACACAUGCAAGUCGAACGGUAACAGGGAGCUUGCUCCGCUGACGAGUGGCGAACGGGUGAGUAAUGCGUCGGAACGUGCCGAGUAGUGGGGGAUAACGCAUCGAAAGGUGUGCUAAUACCGCAUACGAACUGAGGUUGAAAGUGGGGGACCUUCGGGCCUCACGCUAUUCGAGCGGCCGACGUCUGAUUAGCUAGUUGGUGAGGUAAAGGCUCACCAAGGCGACGAUCAGUAGCGGGUCUGAGAGGAUGAUCCGCCACACUGGGACUGAGACACGGCCCAGACUCCUACGGGAGGCAGCAGUGGGGAAUUUUGGACAAUGGGCGCAAGCCUGAUCCAGCCAUGCCGCGUGUCUGAAGAAGGCCUUCGGGUUGUAAAGGACUUUUGUCCGGGAGCAAAUGCCUGGUGUUAAUAGCAUCGGGAGCUGAGAGUACCGGAAGAAUAAGCACCGGCUAACUACGUGCCAGCAGCCGCGGUAAUACGUAGGGUGCAAGCGUUAAUCGGAAUUACUGGGCGUAAAGCGUGCGCAGGCGGUUUUGUAAGCCAGAUGUGAAAGCCCCGGGCUCAACCUGGGAACUGCGUUUGGAACUACAAGACUAGAGUGUGUCAGAGGGGGGUGGAAUUCCGCGUGUAGCAGUGAAAUGCGUAG